GUGGGGAAUCUUGCGCAAUGGGCGAAAGCCUGACGCAGCCAUGCCGCGUGAAUGAUGAAGGUCUUAGGAUUGUAAAAUUCUUUCACCGGGGACGAUAAUGACGGUACCCGGAGAAGAAGCCCCGGCUAACUUCGUGCCAGCAGCCGCGGUAAUACGAAGGGGGCUAGCGUUGCUCGGAAUUACUGGGCGUAAAGGGCGCGUAGGCGGACAGGUUAGUCAGAGGUGAAAGCCCAGGGCUCAACCUGGGAAUUGCCUUUGAUACGGGCUGUCUUGAGUACGGGAGAGGAGAGUGGAACUCCGAGUGUAGAGGUGAAAUGCGUAGAUAUUCGGAAGAACACCAGUGGCGAAGGCGACUCACUGGCCCGUUACUGACGCUGAGGCGCGAAAGCGUGGGGAGCAAACAGGAUUAGAAACCCUAGUCGUCC
rnacentral:rRNA from 1 species